rnacentral:rRNA from 2 species
ACGAACUCUGGUAUUGAUUGGUGCUUGCAUCAUGAUUUACAUUUGAGUGAGUGGCGAACUGGUGAGUAACACGUGGGAAACCUGCCCAGAAGCGGGGGAUAACACCUGGAAACAGAUGCUAAUACCGCAUAACAACUUGGACCGCAUGGUCCGAGCUUGAAAGAUGGCUUCGGCUAUCACUUUUGGAUGGUCCCGCGGCGUAUUAGCUAGAUGGUGGGGUAACGGCUCACCAUGGCAAUGAUACGUAGCCGACCUGAGAGGGUAAUCGGCCACAUUGGGACUGAGACACGGCCCAAACUCCUACGGGAGGCAGCAGUAGGGAAUCUUCCACAAUGGACGAAAGUCUGAUGGAGCAACGCCGCGUGAGUGAAGAAGGGUUUCGGCUCGUAAAACUCUGUUGUUAAAGAAGAACAUAUCUGAGAGUAACUGUUCAGGUAUUGACGGUAUUUAAACAGAAAGCCACGGCUAACUACGUGCCAGCAGCCGCGGUAAUACGUAGGUGGCAAGCGUUGUCCGGAUUUAUUGGGCGUAAAGCGAGCGCAGGCGGUUUUUUAAGUCUGAUGUGAAAGCCUUCGGCUCAACCGAAGAAGUGCAUCGGAAACUGGGAAACUUGAGUGCAGAAGAGGACAGUGGAACUCCAUGUGUAGCGGUGAAUUGCGUAGAUAUAUGGAAGAACACCAGUGGCGAAGGCGGCUGUCUGGUCUGUAACUGACGCUGAGGCUCGAAAGUAUGGGUAGCAAACAGGAUUAGAUACCCUGGUAGUCCAUACCGUAAACGAUGAAUGCUAAGUGUUGGAGGGUUUCCGCCCUUUCAGUGCUGCAGCUAACGCAUUAAGCAUUCCGCCUGGGGAGUACGGCCGCAAGGCUGAAACUCAAAGGAAUUGACGGGGGCCCGCACAAGCGGUGGAGCAUGUGGUUUAAUUCGAAGCUACGCGAAGAACCUUACCAGGUCUUGACAUACUAUGCAAAUCUAAGAGAUUAGACGUUCCCUUCGGGGACAUGGAUACAGGUGGUGCAUGGUUGUCGUCAGCUCGUGUCGUGAGAUGUUGGGUUAAGUCCCGCAACGAGCGCAACCCUUAUUAUCAGUUGCCAGCAUUAAGUUGGGCACUCUGGUGAGACUGCCGGUGACAAACCGGAGGAAGGUGGGGAUGACGUCAAAUCAUCAUGCCCCUUAUGACCUGGGCUACACACGUGCUACAAUGGAUGGUACAACGAGUUGCGAACUCGCGAGAGUAAGCUAAUCUCUUAAAGCCAUUCUCAGUUCGGAUUGUAGGCUGCAACUCGCCUACAUGAAGUCGGAAUCGCUAGUAAUCGCGGAUCAGCAUGCCGCGGUGAAUACGUUCCCGGGCCUAAUACACACCGCCCGUCACACCAUGAGAGUUUGUAACACCCAAAGUCGGUGGGGUAACCUUU